GUGCUAGUAGAAUCAAAUUGGUGUGUUUAUUUCUCUGUCUCCCUCUGUUAAAAGCAAGAAAUUAAAUGAGCCUGAUCAUACCUGAGAUUCUGGAUGCCUAAAAUUUCACUGAAAAUGUUGAAAGAUUGCAGUGUAAGGAAAACCGAUGAUGUAUCCAACAAUUCCUCUGUGAAGCUGAUCUCUUUCCAAAGCAAUCAAUUACAUUUGGACUUGCUGGAUAAAGGCUGUGGAGUGACUCUUCUGAUUUAAAAUGCACUUUUUUUUUUUUAUUUUUUUAUUUUUAGAAAGGGGACUGUUAAACAACUUCACUUCUCAACAUUUGUAUUGCCUGAGAUAUGAUGACAGCUGUGAAGUUGAUCCAUGGGUAAAGGUCUAUCCCAUUCUUCAUGAGCCCACUGAGGUUGGCUGGGCAUGUGCUCUCAGUGCUUGUUUUCCCAGUACUCCUUUUGAAGGUGAGCACCAACAUCAGUGACAAGAACUGUCAGUUCCACUCCUCAAGCUUCUUGGCCUUUAUUGUGUCUCAGACAGUAGAAACUAUGCUGGUGUAUGGGACAUCUGGGGCUUACGUCAUAUUGUAUCAACACUGACAACUUAUUAUUUGUUUCCAAGCUUACAGAGUUGUUGGAGUCUUUUUUAAGGGUAUUUCCCUGCUGCAUGAGUUGAUCUCUAGUUUACUCAUAUUUUGUGGGUAGGGGAAAGAUGUCAGUAUUUCCAUUAGUUAAAGUUGUGUUCAGCAUUAAGAGUUUGUAAUUACCACAGAAAAGUAAGCAUUAUUGUUGAGGAAAAGGAAAAAUCUCAUCUCUCAGAUCCUCUGUUUUUUAUCUAGUUGUCAAAAGCCCCAACAUAAAAGCUGAGGUUUUAUUUUUAUACAUACACAAAAAUGGUAAAUACCCCAGAAAGCUAAUAAGCCAUGAAGUUUAGGAUUCAUUCAGUGCUGUGAUAGAAUAACCAAAACAACAACUAGUCAGAGCUCUCUUGAGAGCGGGGAGGAGCUUGAAAGUUCAUUGUUUGAUAGUCUCAGAAGAUCUCAAAUCAUUUUCUAAAUUAUCACAGUAUUAGAUCAUUAUCCAUGUCAUACUCUAAAAUGUGGGGCAUGACUUCUACCUCCAUCGUAGAGAAGACAAUUCUAUCUCUUUGUAAAUCUCUUCAGAUUCAGAAAUAAGUUAAAAAAAAAUAGAAAAAAAGUAAAAAAAUAUGGGAGCCGACUGACUAGAAGGGCCACAUUCUUGGAAACAAGUUGGCUGGGCUGGUUAGCAGGGCUUUAAACUAGAUAUGAUGGGGGAAGGGGGUGUACUGUGUGACGGAGAAGCGUGUGGGAAUGCUGUCACCCUGGGAGGUGGUAAGGGAAAACCCCAGACUUGUCCUGGAGGUAUUAGGGAGGGCUCCACUGGUAAGACAAUGAGGCCAAUAGCCAAGCUGAAGUGCCUCUAUACCAAUGCACACAGCAUUGGAAAUAAUCAGGAGGAGCUAGAGACCGUGGCACAAUUGGGAAAGUAUGACCUAAUUGCUAUCAUGGAAACAUAGUGGGAUGAAUCCCACGAUUGGAAUACCCUGAUUGAGGACUACAGGCUUUUCAGAAGGGAUAGACAGGGUAGGAGGGGUGGCGGAGUUGCCCUCUAUAUUAGGAAUUGGAUAGAUUGUGAAGAGCUGUGUCUGAGGAACAGCCACAAUCAGGUCGAGAGUUUGUGGGUAAAAAUCAAGGAUCGGUCCAGCAAAGGGCAUCUAGUGGCUGGGGUCUGCUACAGGACAUCUGAUCAGGAGGAGGCUGUGGACGCGGCCUUCUUGCUUCAGCUGCAGGAGGUGUUGCGCUUGAGGGCUCUUGUCCUGAUGAGGGAUUUCAACCACCCGGAUAUCUUCUGGGAUAGUGGCAUGGCGGGUGGCAGACAAUCCAGGAGAUUCCUGGAGUCUGUCAAGGACAACUUCCUGAUCCAGGUAAUAGAUGGACCGACCCGAGGUGAAGCCUUACUGGAACUGGUGCACACUAAUGCAGAGGAGAGCAUUAGAGACGUUAAGAUUGGAGGCAGCAUGGGCUGUAGUGACCAUGCCUUGAUGGACUUUGUGAUCUUGAAGAAUGCAGGCCUGGCUAAAAGCAGAGCUUGGACUCUGUGCUUUAGGAGAGCAAACUUCCUGCUGCUCAAGGAACUGCUGAGUGGGAUCCCCUGGGAAACUGUCCUUAAGGGCAUGGGUACAGAACAGAGCUGGCAGCUCUUUAAGGACACCCUUCUGAGAGUGCAACGGCUCUCUAUCCCCCAGCAGAAGUCAAGUAGGGGAGGCAGGCAACCAUCGUGGCUGUGCAAGGACCUGCAGCUUAAACUGAGAGAAAAGGGGGGAAUUUAUAGAAGGUGGAAGCAGGUUGUGUAUCCUGGGAGGAAUACAGCGCUGUUGCCCGUGUGUGCAGAGAUAGGAUUAGGAAAGCCAAGGCGCAGAUGGAGAUGAACUUGGUGAGGGAUGUGAAAGAUAACAAGAAGAGGUUCUACAGGUUCUACAGGCAGGAGGAGACGGACCAAGUGUUCCCCCUCUGAUGAAAGGCAAUGGGGAGCUGGCUUCCUCAGACGUAGAAAAAGCUGAGGUAUUUAAUGAGUGCAUUGCCUCAGUUUUCACGGGUUGUCAGGCUUCCCGUGUCUGCCAGGACCACAAGCCUGUAUGUGAGGGUGUGGGGAGUGGUUUCUGUCCCACUGUAAUGGUGGAACAAGUCCGAGUCCUCCUCAUGACACUGAAUGUGUAUAAGUCCAUGGGGCUGGAUGAUAUCCAUCCUAGGGUUCUGAAAGAGAUGGCUGAUGUUGUUGCUGAGCCACUCUCCAUCAUAUUUGAAAAAUCAUGGCUGUCUGGUGAAGUUCCCACUGACUGGAAAAAGGGAAACAUUACUCCCAGUUUUAAGAAAGGGAGAAAGGAGGAUCUGGGGAACUACAGGCCAGUGAGCCUCACCUCUGUGCCUGGGAAGAUCAUGGAGCAGAUCCUCCUAGAAGCUAUGUUAAGGCACAUAUUGGAUGAAGAGGUGAUCUGAGACAGGCAGCAUGGCUUCACCAAGGGCAGAUUGUGCCUGACCAAUCUGGUGGCCUUCUACGAUGGAGUGAUGGCUUCGGUGGCUGGGAGAAGGGCAGUGGAUGUCAUCUACCUGGACUUCUGCAAGGCCUUUGACAUGGUCCCUCACCACAUCCUUCCAGGUUUAGGUUGGAUAUUAGGAAGUUUUUCACACAGAAUGUUUCACACAGUGUGUGGUGACACACUGGAACAGGUUGCCCAAGGAGGCUGUGGAUUCCCCAUCCCUGGAGGUAUUCAAGGCCAGGCCGGAUGUGGCGCUGGGCAGCCUGGUCUAGUGGUUGGCGACCCUGCACAUAGCGGGGGGGUUGAAACUAGAUGAUCAUUGUGGUCCUUUUCAACCCAGGUGUAAGAGAUUAUUCUUUUAUAUGAUUGACUCAAAGUUUGCUGAGGAACAAGUCCAGGCAAGUCCUGGGCAAAGGUAGAGAAAUCUUUUGUCUGGAGGACACUGAUGGACAGGUCCUGGCUAAGGGUUGUGAAAUCCUUUAAGGAGCACAGAUGGACAAGGCUAGGGGCAACGAGAGAGAGAGAUAAGCUGCUGAUAAUGGCUGGGAAACGGUCUUUUGUGUGGACUUAUCUCAAGGAAGAUGGCCAUCUCAGGAGGCACACACAUGACUCUUGCUCAAGCACCCAGGGAUGUCACGUAGGCAGGAAAAAAAAAAGGAGGAUAAAAGAGGGUCCAACAACCAAGAGGCUAGAGGGUUUUCUGCCAUCAGAUCCCUCACCACGAUGGACUCGAGGUUUCUGCCAUCAGAUCCUUCACUACAGACCAUAUGUUGACGGACUUCCCUUGGCCUGCUACCUGAGACCUGCUGCUUCCUCCUGGGCUUACUCUGCGGCUUUUUCCUGGACCCACCCGGUACUUGCAAUCUCUCGUUGCCCAAGACCGUCCUCGCUGCUCCUGCCCUUCGGCCUCGGGCCAUCGGAACGGCAUGCAAUGGGACUACUGUCGGAUCCUGGUGGUGGCUAUCCCCGCUUGCUUCUUGCUUCUUUCUGUCUUUUCUAUCGCUCGCCUUCCCUUCCCCAUCACCCCAGUCCGUAAUAGUGUCCGUCCUCCCCUUUCUUCAUCUCCCUUAUUAACAUUUGUAAUAAACUGGUCGGACCAACAUUUGAACCGUUGUUUCUUAAUCUCACGCUGGGCAUACAUAUUUCAAAGAACCUC
ensembl:lncRNA